CUUUGUAAGGACAUAUCAAGACUUAGAAGGCUUUGAUUACACAUACGGAUGGCAUGAGUCGUGAUAUAAAAUAGUAUUGUUUUCACGUGUACUUCGAAGUCAUCUCAUUUGAAAUUAACUGUCAUAAUUGACUAUUUGGAAUAUUCAACCUAAAUACUACCCGCUGCUGUGGUGACGGGGGGUGGAGGAAGCGUGGUGGAACCCCAACACCUAGUGAGGGGUGGCUGAUUAAUACCACGGCUCACAACAUAACAGAGCGGCUCAUUCCAUGAACAACCCCGGGGGGAUUUCGAAUUCUAUCAUCUGGGCAAAAGAUGUGAUGAGUGUAACUUCCUGUUUUCUCCAAACUAAAACACUACGCAGAUUCCUGUACCGCUCUGGGACAGAAAUCCUCAGCCAGAGCAGAGGCCGUCCCCAGAGUCCACACUGUUUCCUGCAUAAAGUGGGUUAUCUCAGAAGAAACAUCCCACUGGUCUGUGUGAUCCUUCUAUUGAAAUGUGGUCUUUUAUCUACAUCUAAGUAUCUCUAGAAGUAAUGCGUUUGUAUGUACUUGUCACUCAGAUAUGUAAUCCCUUAAUUUGUGCGGGGUUUUGGGGUGUGAAAAAUUCUUGGUUUAUAUCCUACACUUUUAAAUAACCUCGUCAAAACUUACAUGUAUUUAACACCUUUUUUUGUGAGCACAUGGUAAGGUUGGAAGUAAAAAUGGAAGGUUUAUCCCUGUGGCCCAUGUUUUCCAGUGUACCUAUGUGGGGUUUUAAAAAAAUGUCCCAAUUUCUUCCUUUUACUGGAGACUGCGUUUUUUAGACAACAGCUUAUCUUCCUAUUCCCUAACCAGUCUUCUCCAAUCUUACCAUUCAAUAUAGCCUCCUUUUCUGUGACUUCCUCCAGCUGAAUAGAAGGGCUGAGUGGGUCAACCUUCCCUGUAUUGUUUGUUUCCUCCACCCUCUCUUUUUCCUUAAUAGCAGUAUUUGGUCCACCCACACCACCCUCUCUCUUCUCACUGCCUCCAUUCCUGGUUCUUAACUCCUUUCUAUUCUUUACUCUCCACCUGCCUACACGAUCAUUCUUAGCAGCAAAUUUAUUCCAUCGACUUUUACGUCCACUUAACAUCCAGAUUGCAUUUACUUUGCGCAGAUAACCUUGCCGCCUACCUCACAAGUCAAGGCCACCUGCUGCUCUCUUUCUACUUUAAAACAUCCUUCCUCCAUCUUUACCCCCCAACUCAGCAAAAUUGAUGUCUCUCUCGGAUGACCCAAAGUUUGGAGGGAUAAUUAAUUUGAUAGAUGUCAGAAUCAAAGUUCAAAACAGUCUCAACAGGCUACAACAUUAGGCCAAAAGCAAUGAAAUAAAAUAUAACUUUCAAAUCUAAAUAUGAUGUACUAGCUGGAAAAGCCCAAGUUUUAGAUUUUAGACCUUGGUUUGUAUCUAGUUACCCAAAUUUGAGUCAUAUCCAGUAACUCAAAUUACUAUCUUUUGCUCUAGUAAGGUCAACUGUUAAUUUGAGAUAAAAAUACCUACUUCAUAAGAGUGUGAAGAGUAAUUUAUUUAUAAUUCCCACGUAAUUCGUGGAACAUUCACCAACCAUUAGUUCCCCUCCCUUCCUCAUCGUCCACAAAGUGGUUGUCUCUGUUGCCAUUCAUAACACAUUCUUUAAUUCAUACAGACCUGGAAACAGACUCAAAAUCCUGGCCCGUUCACCUUGUAUCCCAGAGCUGUCACCAUCGUAGAGAAAUCGUUUGCCUCUUUUGGGUCAGUCAUUAUCAUCAUCAUACCCAUUUUUUCAAUGAAAAAACCUAAGGCUCAGAGAUGUUAGGCAAUUUGCUCCAAAUCACUCAGCCUGAUCAGUGGCAUAACCUGACCCAGUGACUCAUGAUUCUGUGUAUAUCCACUCCUUUACUAAGAUAUUCUCCCACACUUAUGUUGGUCCUUUAGCCUUCUAAAUGCUUUUCCUGGUUCUUAUCUCUUUAUCCUUCCACUUGUGUCCUGACUGAUGGCAGAUUAUUCCUUCUAAACUGAUACCUUCAUCAUUAUAAUUUUGUCCUUUCAAGCUUCAGUGGUUCCAUAUUGUUUAUAGUGUUCAAUCCAAAUUUGGACCUGGCACUUAAGGUUUACCAGAUCUUGUCCAAACUUGCAUUUCCAAAUUUAUUUCCUGCCACUUCCCAGAAGGAACUCUCAAUGCCAUCCGGUCCUGUUGGUUGUACUCACUGGCCCACAGAUGAGCUGUGAGUCGCCAUUUAUGAGGGCCUCCUUCAGUUGUUCCCUUAACAGAUACCAUUUCCCACUUCUUUCCUCCAUCUCCAAAUCAUGCUCACUUUUCAAGAUCCAGCUCACACCCCCUCCCAGGAAGCCCACCUUACACCUUCUACCCAAGCUUUGUGAUCUCUCCCUGAUUGCCUGUUCACAUGUGCCUUUAAACUAGGUGGUCUGUGCUGUGGGGUGAGAGACAAUUUCCUAAGGUUCACCUGCCCCCUCAGCACUGUGCCCAAAGAACACUGAAGCAGAUUCCAAGCAAAUUUGCUUACUACUGAAAUGAAAG
rnacentral:lncRNA from 1 species